UUGAAGCCGAUGACGGCGUUCCGUUUGACGGCAAACAUGGCGCCCGAGCAGCACCGGCGGCGGAUGGCGAGAGAGGGGAGCUGCUGUGCGUUCACCUCGUUACCAGCCAAGUCCUCCCUCACCACCUGCUGCAGUCACAGCCAACACCUGCAAAUGUCACCCGAAGCAACGGUGCCAGCCCACAGCACAGGUUGGGGCUAUAAGGUCCCUUCCAACCCACAGCAUGGGUUGGUGGGGCUGUAAGGUUCCAUCCAACCCACAGCACAGUUUGGGGCUCUAAGGUCCCUUCCAACCACCAGCACAGGUUGGGGCUGUAAGGUACCUUUCAACCCACAGUAUGCAUUGGGACUAUAAGGUUCCUUCCAACCCAUAGCACAGGUUGGGGCUAUAAGGUUCUUACCAACCUAUAGCAUGGGUUGGUGGGGCUCUAAGGUCCCUUCCACCCCACAGCAUGGGUUGGUGGGGCUGUAAGGUUCAAUCCAACCCACAGCAUGGGUUGAUGAGGCUCUAAGGUUCCUUCCAACCCACAGCACAGGUUGGGGCUGUAAGGUACCUUUCAACCCACAGUAUGCAUUGGGACUAUAAGGUUCCUUCCAACCCACAGCACAGUUUGGGGCUGUAAGGUUCUUACCAACCUAUAGCAUGGGUUGGUGGGGCUCUAAGGUUCCUUCCAAGCCACACAACAGCUUGGUGGGGCUCUAAGGUUCCUUCUAACCCACAGCACAUGUUGGGGCUAUAAGGUCCCUUCCAACCCACAGCAUGGGUUGGUGGGGCUGUACGGUCCCUUCCAACACACAACAUGGGUUGGAGGAGCUCUGAGGUCCCUUCUAACCCACAGCACAGGUUGGGGCUCUAAGGUUCCUUCCAAUCCACAGCAUGGGUUGGUGGGGCUGUAAGGUCCCUUCCAACCCACAGCACAGGUUGGGGCUGUAAGGUUCUUUCCAACCCAACAAGGCUUGGUGGGGCCAUAAGUUUCUUUCCAACCCAAGCUGCUCUAGGAGUCGAGAUUCUUUACCCCCAGCUCCAUCCCCACCAUUGUGAAUAGGCCAGGAGCAAUGGCAUGGUGCUGCAGUGAGGCAAAGCUCCUGGUGCAGCUCAAUGGAUUUCUGUGCCCAACGACAGGCAGGAUGCUGGAAAUUGGAUCCCUGAGGAAUCAUCCGUUCUGGCUGACCCCUCAGGAGGGGUUUUCUCUGCAGGAAGGGCUGUGGUGCUGCACAGUCCAAAGGCCACUGAAUACCUGGCGUGGGUGCAGCUGUGGACCAAAGGAAACUGACGUCAGCCUGAGGCUGCUAUGGGGGCUGGACUCUGGUUUACCUUUGGAGCGUGGGCUCAGCCCCAAAACCUCGAGGAGAGGGAAAGUGGAAAGCAAACGGCCCCACAAAUGGACAAGGAAAACACCUGAAACCCCGUCCCAACCCAUGGGGAUGGUGGUGUGUGGGAUGGAGGGGAACUCCAGCUGUGGAGAUAAAAUACCAGAUGUAGGUGGGAAACCCCACAGAGCCCCUCAGGCUGAUCUUCCUCUUCCAGACAAGCAGAAAGGACCCAAUGUGAAGAACUCAAUGUGAAGGUGAUUUUGGAGUUUCAUCUGGAGUUUCACCACCCACUGACAGAGGAGGAAGCUACAAGUGAGCUCAGGGUGCAGCCCCAUCCUAAAAGAUCCCCAGACUAAAAGAACAGCUUCAAUGCAUGAACCCCACAGAUCCUCUGCUCUGCUGCCUACUCCUUCAAGCAAGACCAAGCAACACCAGGAUCUGGAAGGAGAAAUCCCACGCCAGAGCCCUCCCUGUGGCCCCAAGGAAUGUGUCCUUGUUGGGAAAUGAAUUCUUGGCACUGGGAGCAAUAACAGAAAUGAGCUCAACUCGCUCCAGCAGCUCAGGGCAGCGCCCAGCACAUAUUUCCCCAGCAGUGCCAAGCUCUAAAAGCACAAACAAACACCGGCACAUACUUGGCACCCAGCUGGAACAGCGUGUCCCUGUGCAAACACCCGGCUCCUGCUUUGAAGUGGGAGCGAGGGGAUGACUAAAUGGGGGAAAGGGGAGCAGGAUGGCUGCUGAUGGGAUGACGGGGCUGUGGGGAGGGUCGGCGCAAUGCUUUGAACCUCAGUGACGCCAGCAAGUGGAGGAAGCAAUGUGUGACAUCAGGGUUGUUGGUGAUGUGGGCAAGUAAAGGCUGCAGGCUCAGCCCCAGUGAAGGGACAGAGGGGCAGCUCUGGAGGGAACCAGGAGCCCCUGGCACAGGGCAGGGAAAGGAAUGGAGAUCUGUUCUUACACCCCAAAGAAACCCCUUUGGGGCUCACGGAGCACCAAAACCACCCUUGGAUACCUGGUGUAGAACACAAGACUUUCCUCCUGCUGGCUCACUGCAACCUGUCAGCCUCAUCCUCACAACAGCCACACUCAGGAGCAGAGGACAAAGGUGCAAACGGCCCUAAAAACCAAAGGCAGAUUCCAUUAUGCCCUGCCCAGCAAGCAACAGACGUGGGCACAUUGUCAGCAUGGGGACACUGCCCUGCUGCUCCAGGGACAGAACAGACGUCACCCACAGCAAGUUACGGCCGUUUGACUGAACUUCUGUUGCUGGUUCUCAUCCUGUGUUGUCACAAUCGCUUCCUCCCCGCUGCGCAAACACGAAUGGCAUUUCCAGCCCAGCAGAGACGACGUGCUCACAGUCAGUCGUGCCCUCCCUGCCCCCAGUGGGCACAGACAGCAGCACAGGGGCAGCCCAAAGCUGCAAAGGCUGCUUUAGCAUUUUUCACUAUUUUUCCUCUUUUUUUUUAAAAGCACAGCACGCUGGAAAAGAGGACGAGAUGAAGAUGUAAAAAAUUAUAUAUAUAUUUGUAUAUACGAUUCGUAUCUAUUUACAACUGCAGCUGGGACCAACAGCAGAGCAUCCAAGCAGGCUGCACGGCCGGGCAGUGCAGGGCUGGGCCCAUCCCUGCCACAAAGUCCAUGGGGCCACAGCCCAGGGUCACUGAUAAACCACCUGACAGCAGCUGUACGAGCACAGCAUCAUUCCCUGCUCACAGCAGCAUGAAGUGCAAUGCCAAAGUGAAGCUCUGUGACCCAGCCAGGAUCAGAUGUGAGGGAAGCAGUGCAUCCAUCACCCACUGCCUCCCUCCUUUGUUUGCUGCUGAUCCAAUACAGCUCCCUAAAAGCCACAGGGCUGCUCCACCUCCACAGCUGGGUUUAAACCUGACUUGGACUCGGUGCUGUCCUGGCACAAACCUCAACCCAAGGCCCCAUCGAACAGCCCAUACCUGGAGCUGCUUCAGCAGCACCACGUGGGCACCGCGUGCACCCCACUGUGCUGCAGCCACCACGCUGACCUCAUUCUGUUUGCUCCUUUCGAGCCUGAAACAAAAAGGCGAGAAAAAGAAAGAG